UAAGGAAUAUUGGACAAUGGCCGCAAGGCUGAUCCAGCCAUGCCGCGUGCAGGAUGACAGAGCUCUGCUCCGUAAACUGCUUUUACCCAGGAAAAAACCCCUGCAUUCUUGCGGGGCUGAUUGUACCGGGAGAAUAAGGGACGGCUAACUUCGUGCCAGCAGCCGCGGUAAUACGAAGGUCCCAAGCGUUAUCCGGAUUUAUUGGGUUUAAAGGGUGCGUAGGCGGCUUAUUAAGUCAGUGGUGAAAGCUCCAUGCUUAACAUGGAAAUUGCCAUUGAUACUGAUGAGCUUGAGUAUAUUUGAAGUGGGCGGAAUGUGUCGUGUAGCGGUGAAAUGCUUAGAUAUGACACAGAACACCGAUUGCGUAGGCAGCUCACUAAACUAUAACUGACGCUGAGGCACGAAAGCAUGGGGAUCAAACAG
rnacentral:rRNA from 1 species